AACCUUCGGGGAACGAUAACGGCGUCGAGCGGCGGACGGGUGAGUAAUGCCUAGGAAAUUGCCUUGAUGUGGGGGAUAACCAUUGGAAACGAUGGCUAAUACCGCAUGAUGCCUACGGGCCAAAGAGGGGGACCUUCGGGCCUCUCGCGUCAAGAUAUGCCUAGGUGGGAUUAGCUAGUUGGUGAGGUAAUGGCUCACCGGCGACGAUCCCUAGCUGGUCUGAGAGGAUGAUCAGCCACACUGGAACUGAGACACGGUCCAGACUCCUACGGGAGGCAGCAGUGGGGAAUAUUGCACAAUGGGCGCAAGCCUGAUGCAGCCAUGCCGCGUGUAUGAAGAAGGCCUUCGGGUUGUAAAGUACUUUCAGCAGUGAGGAAGGGGGUGUCGUUAAUAGCGGCAUUUCUUGACGUUAGCUGCAGAAGAAGCACCGGCUAACUCCGUGCCAGCAGCCGCGGUAAUACGGAGGGUGCGAGCGUUAAUCGGAAUUACUGGGCGUAAAGCGCAUGCAGGUGGUUUGUUAAGUCAGAUGUGAAAGCCCGGGGCUCAACCUCGGAACUGCAUUUGAAACUGGCAAACUAGAGUACUGUAGAGGGGGGUAGAAUUUCAGGUGUAGCGGUGAAAUGCGUAGAGAUCUGAAGGAAUACCAGUGGCGAAGGCGGCCCCCUGGACAGAUACUGACACUCAGAUGCGAAAGCGUGGGGAGCAAACAGGAUUAGAU
rnacentral:rRNA from 1 species